AGUUGGAGUAAAUAGUUUGUGUUAAGUCGGGUUGUGAUAUUUUAUUUAUUUAUUUUAAUAAUAGAAGAGAGGGAGACGAAAACUGCAAACUGAAGGGAGAAGAAGCGGUGGCUGACUUUGUAUAUUUCUCCUUUCUUUUCAAUUUGAGAAAAUUUCUUUGCAAUUCACUUUGAAAAGGAAAUGAAUAUUUCUCCCUCAGACUUAUCUCUCUCUUCUUUUCAAUUUAUUUUCAAUUUUUUUGUGUGCUUCUCACAGUGUAUGCAUAAUCUCUCUUUUCUUCCUUCUCUUUUCCUUCUCCAAUCAACUUCACCACCGUCUUCCACCUACACCGAACGUCAAGCAAAUUUUUUCCUAUCGUCGCAUAACCGUUAGCCCGAGUCACUCCAGUUCUGUCACGCCAUGUAUGUUUAGAUCUGAAUUGUUCGGUUAUUUGUUGCACCGAUCCGUCUCCGUUAGAAUUUGAUUCUCCACAAUUUGGGUCGGUUCGUUGCACUUUAGUUUGAAAAAGAAGCUUAAGUAAGGUUAUAAGGCAAAGGUAACAAAGGAGGUAGACCGACGAGGGACAAGAAGGAGACGUGAUUGCCAUAAGGGAAUGUUCUUCAAA